UACGUAGGUGGCGAGCGUUGUCCGGAUUUACUGGGCGUAAAGGGAGCGUAGGCGGACUUUUAAGUGAGAUGUGAAAUACUCGGGCUCAACUUGAGUGCUGCAUUUCAAACUGGAAGUCUAGAGUGCAGGAGAGGAGAAUGGAAUUCCUAGUGUAGCGGUGAAAUGCGUAGAGAUUAGGAAGAACACCAGUGGCGAAGGCGAUUCUCUGGACUGUGACUGACGCCGAGGCUCGAAAGCGUGGGUAGCAAACAGG
rnacentral:rRNA from 1 species